rnacentral:rRNA from 1 species
UACCAGCACCCCGAGUGGUCGGGACGAUUAUUGGGCCUAAAGCAUCCGUAGCCGGUCCUACAAGUCUUCCGUUAAAUCCACCUGCUCAACAGAUGGGCUGCGGAAGAUACUAUAGGGCUAGGAGGCGGGAGAGGCAAGCGGUACUCAGUGGGUAGGGGUAAAAUCCUCUGAUCCAUUGAAGACCACCAGUGGCGAAGGCGGCUUGCCAGAACGCGCUCGACGGUGAGGGAUGAAAGCUGGGGGAGUGCA